rnacentral:tRNA from 1 species
GUCUGGUCUGGGUGGCGCUGCUGAUCGCGGCGCUGGUGCUGCAGCAGUUCACGUUCACCGACGUGCCGCUGCUCGACCCGGCGAACUGGGCG